rnacentral:rRNA from 1 species
GUGCCAGCAGCCGCGGUAAUACGGAGGGUGCAAGCGUUAUCCGGAUUCACUGGGUUUAAAGGGUGUGUAGGCGGAUAUUUAAGUCAGUGGUGAAAUCUCCAGGCUCAACCUGGAAACUGCCAUUGAUACUAUUUAUCUUGAAUUCUGUUGAGGUGGGCGGAAUACAUCAUGUAGCGGUGAAAUGCUUAGAUAUGAUGUAGAACACCGAUUGCGAAGGCAGCUCACUAAACAGCGAUUGACGCUGAGGCACGAAAGCGUGGGGAUCAAACAGGAUUAGAUACCCUAGUAGUCC